GUUUUUGUGAAGGAAUAGCGGCCUCUCGCGGCUGCUUCCUGGAUGCGCAUGCGAGGGCGUGAGGAGCACAACCCUCCUCAGCGGCUGACGUCACGCGGCAGCGGCUGUCAGAGGGGGCGUGGCCUUGUACUGCUGCAGCAGAGAAAUAUGACAUGGGGAUGAGCGAAAGAGAGAGGGAGAGAGUGAGACAGCCUGAUAGGAAUUAACGGUUCGUCAGAGGUCUGGACUGGAAACCUUAGGAUGGGGAGUAAUGACUGAAAACAGAACGAAUCGACAAGGACAUGCACGGUAAAGUGGAGAUUGCAACUGCUGCCAUACCGGAGUGACCCUGCUCGCACUGCAAGAUGUGGAGGAGGAGCACAACAAUCUAAUGUAUAUGCUCUGGGCAACGUGACUGGAGACUUGGCUCUUUGCAUCAGGAGAGUGCCUUUUUUGAAACUAUGCUGCCUGUUACAUUGUGGAACUUUUUACAGCUCAAUCCUCUGCAUUUUUCUCCAUUCUGUCUGAAACUUUUUAAUCUUUUUUAAUUAUUUACUACCGGUAUAUCAUGUCACACUUAGCUUAUUGGUGUUCCCUAGUUACUGUUGUAUCUACACGUUAUUUAAGGCACUCUGUUACAAAUGGUUGAUGCAUGUUCUGCUUUAUUACAUUUAAAUAUAUAUAUUUAUAUUCAAAAGGUGAUAAUGGAGAGAAAUUAAUAUAAUUUUAUGAUUGCUCUGAUUUUAAACUGCAUUUUAGGUGUCUGAGUGGCAUUUCGUAGAUUAAGUUCAGACAGCACCUUUUUCACUGUUCACUGCUGGCGUUCUCUGUUAAAAUCCUGCCUGGGGAAAAUAAAGUUUUAUUUUUUGCCCCUCACUUGAAUGUGCCCUCUGACUUGAGGAGGGAGAACAUGGUGACAGCAACAGUUUGAAGUAAAGAUGUAUGUCUUAGUGUAACAUUUCCUCCAAGUAAAGUCAUGGAUCCACA